GGAGAGAUGGCCGAGUGGUUGAUGGCUCCGGUCUUGAAAACCGGUAUAGUUCUUUUUGAACUAUCGAGGGUUCGAAUCCCUCUCUCUCCU
rnacentral:tRNA from 2 species